rnacentral:rRNA from 1 species
GAUAAACGCUGGCGGCGUGCAUGAGACAUGCAAGUCGAACGAAGGAUCGGGCUUGCUCGAUCCUUAGUGGAGGACGGCUGAGUAACGCGUAGGUGACCUACCCCGAAGUGGGGAAUAACUGCCCGAAAGGGUGGCUAAUACCGCAUGUGGUCGCACGUUCAUUCGUGCGAGUAAAGCCGCAAGGCGCUUCGGGAGGGGCCUGCGUCCGAUUAGCUCGUUGGUGGGGUAAUGGCUUACCAAGGCGACGAUCGGUAGGUGGUCUGAGAGGACGAUCACCCAGACUGGGACUGAGACACGGCCCAGACUCCUACGGGAGGCAGCAGUCGGGAAUUUUGCUCAAUGGGGGAAACCCUGAAGCAGCAACGCCGCGUGAGGGAUGAAGGCCUUCGGGUUGUAAACCUCUUUUGUCAGGGACGAUGAUGACGGUACCUGGCGAAUAAGCCACGGCUAACUACGUG